CCAGCACUGAGAUCCAUCCACCGAGGUGCGCUAGUGCUGAGAUCCGUCCAAUAGAGCUCAGAUAUUCUACUGAAAAUUUUUGUUAAUGUUCAGCAGAAGAAAGUCAUACACUUUUGGGAUAGCAUGAGGGUAAACACACUGGCUCUCCAAGGUGGGGCAGACGUUAAUGAGUGUGUUUGGAGGAUUAUGCAUGCACUGAUGACAAACGCCUUGGCGAAGAAUAUAAAAAUGAGAGGAAUGAACGGAAUGAUUGGCUUCCUGCACCUACAGAUACAAUAUGUUGUUAUUGCUGUUGUGUGAGAAAAAGGGAGAGGAUUGCGCUGGAAAAGAGGAGAGCAAGAUUCAC